AGAGUUUGAUCCUGGCUCAGGACGAACGCUGGCGGCGCGCCUAACACAUGCAAGUCGAACGGAGCUAAGAGGAGCUUGCUUUUCUUAGCUUAGUGGCGAACGGGUGAGUAACGCGUGAGUAACCUGCCCUGGAGUGGGGGACAACAGUUGGAAACGACUGCUAAUACCGCAUAAGCCCACGGCCCGGCAUCGGGCUGAGGGAAAAGGAUUUAUUCGCUUCAGGAUGGACUCGCGUCCAAUUAGCUAGUUGGUGAGGUAACGGCCCACCAAGGCGACGAUUGGUAGCCGGACUGAGAGGUUGAACGGCCACAUUGGGACUGAGACACGGCCCAGACUCCUACGGGAGGCAGCAGUGGGGGAUAUUGCACAAUGGGGGAAACCCUGAUGCAGCGACGCCGCGUGGAGGAAGAAGGUUUUCGGAUUGUAAACUCCUGUCGUUAGGGACGAUAAUGACGGUACCUAACAAGAAAGCACCGGCUAACUACGUGCCAGCAGCCGCGGUAAAACGUAGGGUGCAAGCGUUGUCCGGAAUUACUGGGUGUAAAGGGAGCGCAGGCGGACCGGCAAGUUGGAAGUGAAAACUAUGGGCUCAACCCAUAAAUUGCUUUCAAAACUGCUGGCCUUGAGUAGUGCAGAGGUAGGUGGAAUUCCCGGUGUAGCGGUGGAAUGCGUAGAUAUCGGGAGGAACACCAGUGGCGAAGGCGGCCUACUGGGCACCAACUGACGCUGAGGCUCGAAAGUGUGGGUAGCAAACAGGAUUAGAUACCCUGGUAGUCCACACCGUAAACGAUGAUUACUAGGUGUUGGAGGAUUGACCCCUUCAGUGCCGCAGUUAACACAAUAAGUAAUCCACCUGGGGAGUACGACCGCAAGGUUGAAACUCAA
rnacentral:rRNA from 1 species